AAAACAGCCCUACGGGAGGCAGCAGUCGAGAAUUUUUCACAAUGGGGGAAACCCUGAUGGAGCGACGCCGCGUGGAGGAUGAAGGCCCUUGGGUCGUAAACUCCUGUCAUGCGGGAACAAGAAAGUGAUAGUACCGCAAGAGGAAGAGACGGCUAACUCUGUGCCAGCAGCCGCGGUAAUACAGAGGUCUCGAGCGUUGUUCGGAUUCAUUGGGCGUAAAGGGUGCGUAGGUGGCGAUGUAAGUCUGGUGUGAAAUCUCGGGGCUCAACCUCGAAAUUGCAUCGGAUACUGCGUUGCUAGAGGAUUGUAGAGGAGAGUGGAAUUCACGGUGUAGCAGUGA
rnacentral:rRNA from 1 species